rnacentral:lncRNA from 1 species
UGACCAAAGUUAACAUGAGAAUGUCAUUUCCAAUCAGGAGGAUGUCAUCUAUGUACAAUAUGAGGAAAGUAACAGUGCUCCCACUGACCUUUUUAAAUACACACGAUUCCUCAUCGUUCUUGAUGAGACCAAACGAUUUGAUUAAAUCAUUGAAACAUGCAUUCUAAUUCUGAAAUGCUUACUUAAGCCCAUAAAUGGACCUU